GGGGGCGACAUGGCUUCGACGCGGGUUACAAAGUUCAAGGUGCAUGCCGAGAUGGUAGCGAAUCUCGUAAAACCAAAGCUGCAAACUCAUAGUUGCAAACGAUGACAACUACGAAGGUUACGCUCUAGCAGCCUAAUCCUUCAAAACUGGACCCCUUAACCGGUCCGGCAGUCACUGGGCUGUGCCUGAACGGCCCAACUGACUGUCAAAAAUUCAGGAUCGCAGUGAAGGUUGUCUGGGCCGGAGCUGUUAAACAAACAUCCCAGGCUCCCCGAGUCGCACCUGUCCUUCGGUAACGGCAAGGGUAAAUUAAAGAAGAGACUAAGCAUGUAGGACCGAGAAUGGAGGACUUGCGGACGCGGGUUCGAUCCCCGCCGCCUCCACCA
rnacentral:tmRNA from 1 species